UGACUUAAAGGAGCAAUUUUAUUUCUCUUUUUCUAACUCAUUUACCCAAUGAGUUUGUGUGACUAUAGAGAAAAGUAGGCUGUGUGGUUUUUCUAGUUGUCUAUACACGUUGCCUCAUAGAGCAUAUGUACACAUGUGUAAUGUUUUCAUUUCCACUAACCCGUUCACUCCCUAGCUACUAUGCUGUUGUUUGUUUUUCUGCUGAGGUCUCCCACAUUUUUAAUGCCUUUUCUGAGUUAUUCCUCCUGAAGGAACGUUAUAUACUGUACUGGAGCAAAUGAGGCUUUUCUUAAACUUCCAGUCUUGGGUUUUGCAUGUAGCAUUUCCAUUCCUUACAGAUGAAUGAGUUCUUUUUUCCCUAUUGACUAUUAGGGCAUUGCCUUGCGGAAAGGAAUAGGGUGGUGAAGGGAAAAUAUUUUGAGAUCUUGCCUGCUCUUAAUAGGGAGUUUGUGACACUUAGAUUUUCAAGUGUUCAGUUUAUACCUUUCCCAAAUCUGGUUGCAGUGUAUUUAGUCAAGCAUUGAAGACCUAACAUAUGGCGUGUUUUGCAAGGCACAGGGAAAGAAAAACGAACUGAGAACAGUGAGACCUUGUGGAAGUUCCCAGGGUGGGACAUUGCAAACCCUGGGUCCUGGGCCUGCCUGAAUCACAGCCUCGGUGGGAGGAUCUUAUGAAAGGCUCUGCCUUUUCCCAUGGUACCCUAGAAACUGCGAAUGCAAUGACAAUAUGGAGAGCAGGGGCAGAAAGCAAGGGGAUAGGGUCUUCCUCUGUCUUCCAGGCUGGAGUGCAAUGGUGGGAUCUUGGCUCACUGCAGCUUUGAAUUCCUGGGCUCAAGCAAUCCUCUUACCUCAACUUCCUGAGUCGCUGGGACUACAGGGCUUCUUCGCUGGAAUGAGGAAGAGGAGGAAGCCAAGGAAGACAGAGACUGUGGCAUCAGUGCGGUAGCCUUUCCUAGUAAAGAGACAAGCAUAGCUGAGGAGAAGGGUCAGGAAUUUUCAGGAGUAACAUGAUGUCUCGGAGCAGUCUGUCUGAACACAGUGCCUCUUUUUAGGACUUAUCUAGAGGUGACAUUAACCUUACUACUUGCCAGUUGCUGCCACGCUAUCCACUUUGGAUUUAAUGGGCAAUGGUGAAUGUCUGGAGGCAGGGCCUGGCUAGAGUAGAUGUCUUAGUGUGAAUUUAUGAGCCGGUUAAUUGGGGCAAGUCCUAGAUGGAGUGAUCAGGAGUGGAGUUGGUUAGAUAAAGGAGAAUAGAAGAGGAUGAGACUUCUUUCCUAUGAAGGCCACACCUCCAUGUGCCUCCCUUCUCAAGUGAGAAGUUGAUUUCUUCUUUACAGUUGGUACUUUAUAGAUGUUUCCUCCUUUAACUUUCAUAACCACCUAUGAGGUAACCAAGGUUCCAAGAGCUUAUGUAAUGAGACUACAUGCAGCACUGGAUCCCAACCCCAGACCGGGACUUCAAAGAGUGUUUUUCCUUCCUGAUUUCACACUGCAGCCUCCCUAAAAAGAGUCCCGGGGAAUGAAAUCUUCCUGGCUUCAUAUCUGCCCCUGAGAGUCUAUGAGGUCUUGCCUGAAGAAUUGGGGUGAGGGGGUUGUUCUUAAGGAGGAAAUGAUAUCACUUACUUUUCAAAGAAAGAAUCCCAGCCAGGGACAAAGCCAGGCUCCCGGGUAAACCACAGUACGGUCAUCAGGAUGAAGAAAAAUCCAGUCACCAUUUCAGGGUAGCUAUAAAAUAAAACAGAAAGACCCACUCAGGAACUGAGAAAUUUCUAGCUUUUUCACUUUGCUUCUGGAAGCUUCUGUAUUUAGAGUUUCAAUACCCUAGACAUAAAACACACUCACUGCCUAACCACUAUGAAUGGCUGACAGUGAGAUGAGGAGAAGACUGAGUGGCCCCAGAAAAUAUGACAUUAACCAUGUUCCUGGAGAAACUUCGGUAGAAAGGGCAAGAGAACACAGCACUGUACAUUUGUAAAAGAAUUUCAAAUACAGCCUACAAGGAGAGUGCAGUGAAAUAGGCAGCCCCAAACACUGUGCUGGUGGGAGGAGGAAUUGCUACAACCUUUUUGAGGCCAUUUGAUGAUACACAUCAGAAGCCUUAAAGUUGGUCAUUCCCUGGCCGGGUGUGGUGGCCCAUGCCCGUAAUCCCAGCACUUUGGGAGGCCGAGGUGAGCGGAUCACGAGGUCAGGAGAUGGAGACCAUCUUGGCUAACACAGUGAAACCCCAUCUCUACUAAAAAUUCAAAAAAUAAUCUGGGCAUGGUGGCACGUGCCUGUAGUCCCAGUUACUUAGGAGGCUGAGAUAGGAGAAUCGCUUGAACCCGGGAGGUGGAGGUUGCAGUGAGCCAAGAUUAUGCCACUGCACUCUAGACUGGGCAACAGGGCGAGACUGCAUCCCCCCCCAAAAAAAAAAAAAGUUGGUCAUUCCCAUUAUCUAACCAGAAAUGCAUACUGAGACAUUAAUUACCUAUUAAAAAAUGGAAGCAUCCUCUAUAUCCAAUGAUAUUUCAUGACACUGAAUACAUUUUGAUACAACUCUAUGUUAAAAUGAGAUGCAUCCACUGAUAAUCCCAUUUCCACAGCAGAGUUAAGGAUGUGGAACGUACUGUACUGAGAGUACGAUGUUGGCUUGGGAAAGGCAAGGUAUACAACAGUUUCAGUGUGGACUGAAUUUUACCAAAAAUACGUAAGAGUUUUGCACAAAAAAGCAUGGAAAGAAGUGUUAACAUUUGUUAACACGGGGUACUAAGAAUCCAGUCAAUUUUAAUUUUUUUCUUGUACUGUCUUGUAUUUUUGAAAUGUUCUAUAAUGAACAUGUAUUCCUUUUAUAACUUAAAGCUUUAAAUAAGACAGUGUCUACCUGGAUUGUUUUAUGCAAAGUUGUAUGUGCCAGUUGCUAUAAAAGGAGAAAUAGCACUAAAUAGGAAGCUAGGUCCCUGUGGAAAAGCUGAUGGAAGUGGCUGAGGAUUGGUUAGUGAUUUCUUGGACGCUCUCUCUCCAAGUCUGUCUUUGAUACGGCCUUAUACCCUAAAUAUAGCACAGAGUCUCCCAUCUCCCUGGGAGUGAUAACUGGACCACUGUGGUGGUGCGUCUGAGCAAUGAGAGGUGGCCUGGCUUUGGAAGGAAUUCACAUUUUCCAAGAGGGUGGCUGUGCUGUCUUUCCCAUCUUCUGCCUCUGUCUGCCCCAUGGUCAGCACUCCAUCCCAUGCCAUGGCUAUACCUUAGACUCCGAAUAGAGCAGAGGGGAAGGGUGGCCACCUGAAAUCUGGGCCAGCUUGGCUUUGGCAUUAAAUAGCAUCUUCUAAAGGCCUGAUUCAGAGUUGUGGAAAAUUCUCCCAGUGUCAGGGAUUGUCAAGAACAAGGCUGCUCCUGUGCUCACUUUACCUGCUGUGUUUCUGCUGGAGGAGGAGAGAAGAGGAAUGGCUGAUUUUUACCUAAUGUCUCCCAGCUUUUCAUAUUCUUCUUGGAUCCUCUUCUCUGACAACUGUUCCCUUUUGGUCUUCUUCUUCUUGCUCAGAGAGCAGGUCUCUUUAAAACUGAGAAGGGAGAAUGAGCAAAUGAUUAAAGAAAACACACUUCUGAGGCCCAGAGAUCACAUGCUCUAUCCCUCUAUCCCCCACCUAUUCAUAUGGCUUUUAUCUGCCACAUUAUCCGGCCUCUCAUCAACCUUCUCCCGUAGCCUACUGGGGAUAUCCAUCUGGGUCUGUCCCUGGUAUAUUGGUGUGAAGUGAUGUCUCAGGGACUUGUGCAAGUGUAUUCAUGUGGGGUCAUUUCUACCUACUUGUCUUUUAUGUAAGUAAAAUAAUCAGUGUAAUGUGGUAUAUGUGUCUAGAUGUAUAAACUAAAACUUUUAUUCCACUAUGUGUCUAGAUGUAUAACUAACAUUUUUACUCCAGAGAAGCUUUGUCUCUAGCCAAACAAACACACAAACAUCUGCAUAUAUGGAACACACAGUGUUAGUUUUAUAUUAGCAAUACUGGAGUUAAGAAGUGUAUAGUUAUCAUUGGUUUGACAACAGUCUGAGUAAAAAGAAAAGUCAGAGAACAUUUCUUGACCAAUGGGAGCAUUGGGUUAUAUGGACUAAUAACAAAACAUUAUAUUAUCUUCCCUUAUGUGUUUGAAACCGAUGAAAUUUGGAGUAGACUAACUUGUUAUUUUGAGGCAUAUGAGCAUAUUUUAUUCAGGCUACUAAGUAUAAAUCACCCAUGCCUAUAAAGUUUAACCUAAUGCAAA